GUUAGGUCCAGUUGGUUAUGAGAAGAAUGUUAUUCUGCUGGUGGAUGGAAUGGUCUGUGUAUGCCUGUUAGGUCCAGUUGGUUAUGAGAAGAACGUUAUUCUGCUGUUGGGUGGAAUGGUCUGUGUAUGCCUGUCAGGACCAGAUGGUUAAGGGACAAUUCAAGUGCAGUGUUUCCUUAUUGAUCUAUCCAUUGUGGGAAGUAGGGAUAAAAGUCUCCUACUAUUAUUGUACUGUCGUGCAUUUCUCCCUUUGGGUUUCUUAGUGUUUGCUUAAUUUAUUUAGGUGAUCUGAUGUUGGGCUCAUAUAUACUCACAGUUGUUAUAUCCUUUUGAUGAAUUGACCCCUUUAUCAUUAUAUAAUGACCUUCUUUGUCUCUUGUUACAACUUCUUACCUGGUCUAUUUUUUCUGUAAUGCUACCCCUGCUCUAUUUGGUUCCAUUUGUGUGGAAUGUCUUUUUCCAUCCCUUCACUUUGAGCCUAGGUGUGUCCUCAAAGCCAAAGUGAGUCUCUUGUGGGCAGCAUACAGUUAGGUCUUGUUUUUGAAUCCAUUAAGCCACUUGAUGCCUUUUGAUUGGAGAAUUUAGUCCAUUUACAUUUAAAGUAAUUAUUGCUAGGAACUGACGAAUGCGAUCUUGUUCACUGUUUUCUGCUCUUCUUGUUACUUUCUUCUUCUUUGAUUGUCUUUCUUUGUGAAUUGAUUAUUUUCCAUAGUGGUAUGCUUUAAUUCCCUUCUCAAUAGCUUUUCUGUAUUUAGUGUAGGUUUUUAUUUUGUGGUUAAUCUGAGGCUUCCAUAAAACACAUUAUAGAUAUAACAGUCUAUUUUAAGCUGAGCAGCUUAACUCAAUCACACACAAAAUCUCUACCCUUUCACUCCCUCUUCAUAUUUUAUGUUUUUGAUAUCACAAUUUACCUUUUUAUAUUGUGAAUCCAUUCAAAAAUUAUUGUAGCUAUAGUUAUUCUUAAUACUUUUGUUCUUUAAACGUUUAUACCAGAGUUAAGUGAUUAACAUAACACCAACUUACAGUAUUAGCAUAUG
rnacentral:lncRNA from 1 species